rnacentral:misc_RNA from 1 species
AAAGUGCGAAACGUAAUGCGAUCCGCACCACCUGUGAGUCAUCGAGUCUUUGAACGCACAUGGCACUCUCUGGUUGAGAGUAUACCUGUUUGAGCAUUAGUAUACAUGAUUAGUUGAUCUCAUACAUUCGCAUUUGAUCUAAAUGGAUAUUGGGGAUGGAAUUCAUCAGUGUGGUACGGGUGUGAGCCCACAGCACAGAUUCAUUCCUCAACCCAAAUAUAUAUUAUUCCAAUCUCAAAUCAGGCAAGGCUACCCGCUGAACUUAA